AAACGACUGCUAAUACCGCAUAAUGUCUACGGACCAAAGGGGGCUUCGGCUCUCGCCUUUAGAUUGGCCCAAGUGGGAUUAGCUAGUUGGUGAGGUAAUGGCUCACCAAGGCGACGAUCCCUAGCUGGUUUGAGAGGAUGAUCAGCCACACUGGGACUGAGACACGGCCCAGACUCCUACGGGAGGCAGCAGUGGGGAAUAUUGCACAAUGGGCGCAAGCCUGAUGCAGCCAUGCCGCGUGUGUGAAGAAGGCCUUCGGGUUGUAAAGCACUUUCAGUCAGGAGGAAAGGUUAACGGUUAAUACCCGUUAGCUGUGACGUUACUGACAGAAGAAGCACCGGCUAACUCCGUGCCAGCAGCCGCGGUAAUACGGAGGGUGCGAGCGUUAAUCGGAAUUACUGGGCGUAAAGCGUACGCAGGCGGUUUGUUAAGCGAGAUGUGAAAGCCCCGGGCUCAACCUGGGAACUGCAUUUCGAACUGGCAAACUAGAGUGUGAUAGAGGGUGGUAGAAUUUCAGGUGUAGCGGUGAAAUGCGUAGAGAUCUGAAGGAAUACCGAUGGCGAAGGCAGCCACCUGGGUCAACACUGACGCUCAUGUACGAAAGCGUGGGGAGCAAACGGGAUUAGAUACCCCGGUAGUCCACGCCGUAAACGAUGUCUACUAGAAGCUCGGAGCCUCGGUUCUGUUUUUCAAAGCUAACGCAUUAAGUAGACCGCCUGGGGAGUACGGCCGCAAGGUUAAAACUCAAAUGAAUUGACGGGGGCCCGCACAAGCGGUGGAGCAUGUGGUUUAAUU
rnacentral:rRNA from 1 species